UCAAGAUUUAUCUUUACACAAAAU
rnacentral:siRNA from 1 species